rnacentral:rRNA from 1 species
GUUCAAGCAGCCGCGGUAAUACGGAGGGCGCAAGCGUUAAUCGGAAUCACUGGGCGUAAAGCGCGCGUAGGCUGUCUGGUAAGUCAGACGUGAAAUCCCUCAGCUCAACUGGGGAACUGCGUUUGAUACUGCCGGACUCGAGUCCCGGAGAGGGUGGCGGAAUUCCAGGUGUAGGAGUGAAAUCCGUAGAUAUCUGGAGGAACACCGGUGGCGAAGGCGGCCACCUGGACGGGUACUGACGCUGAGGUGCGAAAGCGUGGGGAGCAAACAGGAUUAGAAACCCCAGUAGUCC